rnacentral:rRNA from 1 species
GACGUAGGGCGCGAGCGUUGUCCGGAUUUAUUGGGCGUAAAGAGCUCGUAGGCGGUUUGUCGCGUCGGGAGUGAAAACCCAGGGCUUAACCCUGGGCUGGCUUCCGAUACGGGCAGACUAGAGGUAUGCAGGGGAGAACGGAAUUCCUGGUGUAGCGGUGAAAUGCGCAGAUAUCAGGAGGAACACCGGUGGCGAAGGCGGUUCUCUGGGCAUUACCUGACGCUGAGGAGCGAAAGUGUGGGGAGCGAACAGG